UACGUAGGGUGCGAGCGUUAAUCGGAAUUACUGGGCGUAAAGCGUGCGCAGGCGGUUUUGUAAGUCCGCGGUGAAAUCCCCGGGCUCAACCUGGGAACUGCCUUUGUGACUGCAAGGCUUGAGUGCGGCAGAGGGGGAUGGAAUUCCGCGUGUAGCAGUGAAAUGCGUAGAUAUGCGGAGGAACACCGAUGGCGAAGGCAAUCCCCUGGGCCUGCACUGACGCUCAUGCACGAAAGCGUGGGGAGCAAACAGG
rnacentral:rRNA from 1 species